rnacentral:rRNA from 1 species
UACGUAGGGUGCGAGCGUUGUCCGGAAUUAUUGGGCGUAAAGAGCUCGUAGGCGGUCUGUCGCGUCGAAUGUGAAAACCCGGGGCUCAACUCCGGGCUUGCAUUCGAUACGGGCAGGCUAGAGUUCGGUAGGGGAGUCUGGAAUUCCUGGUGUAGCGGUGAAAUGCGCAGAUAUCGGGAGGAACACCGGUGGCGAAGGCGGUUCUCUGGGCCUGUACUGACGCUGAGGAGCGAAAGCGUGGGGAGCGAACAGG